rnacentral:lncRNA from 1 species
AUUGCCACGGUCCAGGGAAUUUAAAGAGGUAGUAAAGAAAAGCAAAGAAGCCUUAGGUAAGCGCCAAAGGUCUAGCCUGUUAGCUGGUGGAAAAGGCUUACCAUCAUCUCAAAAAGGAGACAAAACUGCAGAGUCUAGUGACACCUCAGGCGUUUCUGAUAGUGAUCCCUCUACCACAAAAAUUGUUCGGGAGGAUAUAAAUAAGGGUAAUAGGUUGCGAGCAGCAGUAGAUGCUGCUCUUCGUAAAAAGCCCAGCUUUAGCAAGAACCGAGUAUUGGAGCAAUGUGAUGCAGCUUUGGCAUCUAAUGUGCCUUCUAAUUCGUGUGGUUUUGUCUCACAUUGGAAAAUAGUGGUACAACAACUUUAUGUUAAAAACGUUUUUUUUUGUUGAAUAGGUAAAAGUUUGUGAUAUCUGUGGAGAUGCGGGUCGUGAAGAUCUACUCGCUAUUUGCACCGGAUGCAGUGAUGGUGCAGAACAUACGUAAGCCUGCUUUUUUAACUCAAAAGGAAAAAUGUUCUAAUGGCAAAAUUUGAAUCAGGAUUUGGCCGCAUUGUUAGUUGUAGAAUUUGAGUUUAGUUCGAUAUUAUUUAUCGAUUUUGAUUGAUAUGCCUUCCAUCGGUAAAAGAUAGCUCUAUCUUCUGUGGUAAUAAUACGUUUUUGUUUACUCAGCUAUUGCAUGCGGGUAAUGCUCAAUGAAGUUCCAGAGGGUGAUUGGCUCUGUGAAGAAUGUGAGGAAGCUGAAAAACAGAAGCAAGGUAAAGCUGAAUAUGUGACCAAACAUGCUAUUUGUGAAAACAAAUUUUAGUGUAGUGAACUGGCAAACAAAAUUUGAGCUUCACAUUUUCUGUUUCUAUUAUCUCUAACGACCUUGGAAUUGUAACAUGCAGAAGCUAAAAGAAAAAUAGAAACUGAGAUAAUCCACAGUCCACAAAGCUCGGGAAAGAGGCAUGCUGAUAAGAUUGAGGCAGCUCCAGAUGCUAAAAGGCAGGCGGUUGAGGGUUCAACUGGGUCACCCAAGAAAUCUAUUCUCCCCAGAAUAUGUCCGCUAUCUCGGGAAACAUCAUUGAAGGGGUUAGACAGGCCAAGGGGAAAGCUAAGUCAUCAAGCAUCUUUCAGUGAUACCACAGAAGGUGCACGAUCUACUGGUUUACAGCUUCAACCUCCAAAAGGUAGGCUGCAUAGUGGGAUUGCUCUCCCGAAGUGCAACUCUCCCUCAUCUACUUUGUCAUAAUUUUGGACCUCUAAUGAUAGAACACUACUUCUUUUUUUGUCCAGGUGCAUUUUUAAAAUCCAGUUCCUUCAAUUCUUCAAGCUCGAAACCGAAAGUGCAACUCAUGGAUGAUGUUAUUCUCCCAAGAAAGAAGACUGGGAAAGAAUACACUCCUGUGGAUAUAAAGGAGGGAGGUCUUGGAAUUGUAAGCAAAUCAAUGUCAAGUAGAACAACAGACACUGGGAGUUCUAGUGGAAAUGACUCGGAAGCAAAAACCCUUGCGUCGAAAGUUCAUUCACAAGAAGGCAAGAGCUCAAAGCAACUGAAAGAUCGCAGUGCAGAAGCUAAUGUGUUAGCAGCCUCCACCGAUCAGAAGCUUACUCCACGCAGCAGUACCCGUGAUUUGAAGGGUUUGCAGUCUGAUGGUAAACGAGGUAGCUUGACUAAGCAAGUUAGCAAUCUAAACCGGAACCGUCUAGAAAAUCCUAUUGCUUCUGGUAUCAGUCCAUUCAUUUUGUCAAUAAAUUGGUAGUUCUUUGGUAGUACUUUGUUUGUAUAUGUUUCUAAUCAUUUAGUAUGUGAUCUCCUCCGUUUGCAGGAGGCAAUUCCCGCGAGCAAAGUGUAAGUCAAGCUGACUCUAAGGAUGAACUGACAUCCACAUCGUGUGCGGGUGAGGGUGUUCCAAGCAACGGUAACGUAACUUCGCAGGAUGGAUUGCCACGGUCCAGGGAAUUUAAAGAGGUAGUAAAGAAAAGCAAAGAAGCCUUAGGUAAGCGCCAAAGGUCUAGCCUGUUAGCUGGUGGAAAAGGCUUACCAUCAUCUCAAAAAGGAGACAAAACUGCAGAGUCUAGUGACACCUCAGGCGUUUCUGAUAGUGAUCCCUCUACCACAAAAAUUGUUCGGGAGGAUAUAAAUAAGGGUAAUAGGUUGCGAGCAGCAGUAGAUGCUGCUCUUCGUAAAAAGCCCAGCUUUAGCAAGAACCGAGUAUUGGAGCAAUGUGAU